AUGGAAUGGAAAAUCCCCAGACAAGAAUUUCACAUAUGUCCAAAAAAUGGAUGACAUGAUUAAGACAUGUCAAGAAAGUAAAAUGAAUGUGUAUGUGAAGUAGCAGUCACUAAUAGCAACACAGUGGAUGAAAGAGUUAGAUUAUUAACAACUUUUAAUUUGAGCUCAAAACAUAUGCCAGAGCUGAUUAG